rnacentral:rRNA from 1 species
GAGUUUGAUCAUGGCUCAGAUUGAACGCUGGCGGCAGGCCUAACACAUGCAAGUCGAACGGUAACAGGAAGAAGCUUGCUUCUUUGCUGACGAGUGGCGGACGGGUGAGUAAUGUCUGGGAAACUGCCUGAUGGAGGGGGAUAACUACUGGAAACGGUAGCUAAUACCGCAUAACGUCGCAAGACCAAAGAGGGGGACCUUCGGGCCUCUUGCCAUCGGAUGUGCCCAGAUGGGAUUAGCUAGUAGGUGGGGUAACGGCUCACCUAGGCGACGAUCCCUAGCUGGUCUGAGAGGAUGACCAGCCACACUGGAACUGAGACACGGUCCAGACUCCUACGGGAGGCAGCAGUGGGGAAUAUUGCACAAUGGGCGCAAGCCUGAUGCAGCCAUGCCGCGUGUAUGAAGAAGGCCUUCGGGUUGUAAAGUACUUUCAGCGGGGAGGAAGAGAGUAAAGUUAAUACCUUUGCUCAUUGACGUUACCCGCAGAAGAAGCACCGGCUAACUCCGUGCCAGCAGCCGCGGUAAUACGGAGGGUGCAAGCGUUAAUCGGAAUUACUGGGCGUAAAGCGCACGCAGGCGGUUUGUUAAGUCAGAUGUGAAAUCCCCGGGCUCAACCUGGGAACUGCAUCUGAUGCUGGCAAGCUUGAGUCUCGUAGAGGGGGGUAGAAUUCCAGGUGUAGCGGUGAAAUGCGUAGAGAUCUGGAGGAAUACCGGUGGCGAAGGCGGCCCCCUGGACGAAGACUGACGCUCAGGUGCGAAAGCGUGGGGAGCAAACAGGAUUAGAUACCCUGGUAGUCCACGCCGUAAACGAUGUCGACUUGGAGGUUGUGCCCUUGAGGCGUGGCUUCCGGAGCUAACGCGUUAAGUCGACCGCCUGGGGAGUACGGCCGCAAGGUUAAAACUCAAAUGAAUUGACGGGGGCCCGCACAAGCGGUGGAGCAUGUGGUUUAAUUCGAUGCAACGCGAAGAACCUUACCUGGUCUUGACAUCCACGGAAGUUUUCUGAGAUGAGAAUGUGCCUUCGGGAACCGUGAGACAGGUGCUGCAUGGCUGUCGUCAGCUCGUGUUGUGAAAUGUUGGGUUAAGUCCCGCAACGAGCGCAACCCUUAUCCUUUGUUGCCAGCGGUCCGGCCGGGAACUCAAGGGAGACUGCCAGUGAUAAACUGGAGGAAGGUGGGGAUGACGUCAAGUCAUCAUGACCCUUACGACCAGGGCUACACACGUGCUACAAUGGCGCAUACAAAGAGAAGCGACCUCGCGAGAGCAAGCGGACCUCAUAAAGUGCGUCGUAGUCCGGAUUGGAGUCUGCAACUCGACUCCAUGAAGUCGGAAUCGCUAGUAAUCGUGGAUCAGAAUGCCACGGUGAAUACGUUCCCGGGCCUUGUACACACCGCCCGUCACACCAUGGGAGUGGGUUGCAAAAGAAGUAGGUAGCUUAACCUUCGGGAGGGCGCUUACCACUUUGUGAUUCAUGACUGGGGUGAAGUCGAAACAAGGUA